UGGGAUGAUGCGUUUGGACUCUAAUAAAAGAAGAAUUCGGCCAGAAGAGAGGAGAGCUUGCUAUUACGUAGAAAAACAACAAUCUUACAACACACAAGGCAAGAAUUCAAGAGCGAUUUCAAGGAUUGAAGAGCGAACGUUGGAGGAGUAUUUUUCAGAGAUUAUCACGACGGUUGCGAAUCAAGGCUACGUGAAGGGGUUUUCUUUAUUCUUCUUCUCUUUAGUCUUAUUUGUAAUUGGGAUGAUGUUUUCAACAAAGUAUUCAGUUUUUAAUUCAUUCGUUAUGAACUAAUUUACUUAUUAGACUUGUGAUGGAUCUUUGGGCGAAACGAUGAUUCUAUAACUUUGAUUUCCAAUUCAAUAAGAUAUUUUCAGUUUAUCUAUGUUAAUUUGAGCGUAAAUUUAUGAAUUGCCUGAUCAACAGUUCUUUGUGGAUUUGAAAGGAAUCGAGAGAGG
rnacentral:lncRNA from 1 species